AUCUAAACCUGACAUACGCGGAAAGCCCGGAACCCGGUUUUUCACCGGGUGAGGACUUGCAGCAUUGGCAGGACGAACC
rnacentral:ncRNA from 2 species